UUCGGAGUUGGAUUUGAAUCUUGAGUACAAGCCAGAUGUCAGGGAAGACUUAGAGGCUGUGGGGAAGAAACUUGAAGAAUGCACCGAAAGGUGUUCGUGAAAAUGCCCCAGAGAAAAGCUCAUAAGUUACUAUGCAGGGUAUCUGAAAUCUUGCGAUAGCUCUAUUGAUCUUGUUAAUGUCCUGAAGCAUGAGAUUCAAGAUGGGCAACUGAGCUUUAGAGGAAAAAGGGUACUUAAGGGAGAAGUGGAAACCUAUCUUUAAAAAGCACAUUUCUGGCCAAGUUUGUCGUGGUGGUUUUGUUCUAAAAACAAUGAUCCAAGUUUGAAGGCUAUUUAUAAACUGGACAAUCAUGUGGAAGGUGGCGCAUUGACGAAAGCUUUUGAAGUGAUAAAGAGAAAUUUGUUUAGCUAGAAGUUGUACUGAGGCUAGAAGUUGGUCUUUUUUGGGUUGGCCUUAAUUGCAGUUCUCCUAUAGAUGUGAUUAUGUGACAUUUUUAGGUACAUUUGUGGAUGUAUUUUGCUAUAAGAGUU